UCGCGGGUUUCUUGCAGACGUUUCAUGACCCAACUAGGGAGUUUCAUCAAUGCUAGAAGGAAGGAGGAGGAGGAGGACUGUGGGUAAUCUUGGUUGUUGUUUUUUUUGCAGAUGUUUUGUGACCCAACUAAGGAACGUCAUCAGUGCCAGAAGGAAGGGGAUUACAGAGAUGGAAGAGGAGGGAGAAUACAAGGAGGAAGAGAAGGAAGAGGAUUGUCUGAUGCAAAAUGCCUUUAUUGGUUCAUCGGCCGCAAGGAGCCCAAACCUUGUCAAAUUAACCCCAAUUGGCUCCGGGAUCUUGGUGACUUGCAGUACAACAAUUGUGAAGGGAAUGCACUUAUCAUCACGAUUUUGCUGAGCCACAAAUUUCCCCCGCCCAAAUAAAAGUUGAUUAAAGUGGAUUAAAGAAAUUGAAGUCA